UACGAUCAUAUCACGUUGAAACACCGUUUCUCGUACGAACGAUCACCGAAGUUAAGCAUCGUUGAGCUUGGUCAGUACCUAAAUGGCUGGACGUAUCGGAAUUCUAUAUGCUGUAA